rnacentral:misc_RNA from 1 species
GAUGAAGAACGUAGCGAAAUGCGAUAAGUAAUGUGAAUUGCAGAAUUCAGUGAAUCAUCGAAUCUUUGAACGCACAUUGCGCCCCUUGGUAUUCCGGUGGGCAUGCCUGUUCGAGCGUCAUUUCAACCCUCAAGCUCUGCUUGGUAUUGGGCUCCGUCCUCCUCGGACGCGCCUCAAAGACCUCGGCGGUGGCGUCUUGCCUCAAGCGUAGUAGAAACACCUCGCUUUGGAGUGCAUGGCGUCGCCCGCCGGACGAAACCUUUUGUAUUUUCUCAAAGGUUGACCUCGGAUCAGGUAGGGAUACCCGCUGAACUUAAGCAUAUCAAUAAGCGGAGGA